GCGGAGGAAAAGAAACCAACAGGGAUUGCCUUAGUAACGGCGAGUGAAGCGGCAACAGCUCAAAUUUGAAAUCUGGCUCCUUCGGGGUCCGAGUUGUAAUUUGCAGAGGAUGCUUCGAGUUAUGGUUCCUUCCGAGUUCCCUGGAACGGGACGCCAUAGAGGGUGAGAGCCCCGUCUGGUAGGAAACCAUGCUCAUGUGAAGCUCCCUCGACGAGUCGAGUAGUUUGGGAAUGCUGCUCUAAGGGGAGGUAUACUCCUUCCAAGGCUAAAUACCGGCUAGAGACCGAUAGCGCACAAGUAGAGUGAUCGAAAGAUGAAAAGUACUUUGAAAAGAGAGUCAAACAGCACGUGAAAUUGUUAAAAGGGAAGCGCUCGCUACCAGACGUGGGUUCGGUGGUUCAACCAGGUCCAUGACCUGGGGCACUCCGCCGGCCCAGGCCAGCAUCAGCUUUCCGUCGGGGGCAAAGGCGUCGGGAAUGUGGCUCUCCUUCGGGGGAGUGUUAUAGCCCGUCGCGUCAUACCCUUCGGGGGGCUGAGGUACGCGCUCCGCAAGGAUGCUGGCGUAAUGGUAGCUAGUGACCCGUCUUG
rnacentral:rRNA from 1 species